rnacentral:lncRNA from 1 species
CUAGCAAUCACGCACACUUACUGUGCGUUCACACCGCCGGUGGCGAGAGCGUCAAAGUGACCGGAAGACAUUCAUUUUCAAUGUGAUCGGGCGGCGAGGAGCGGCGCGGCGCGUCUUGGCCGGCGAGGGCGUCAAGGAGAGUUGAAAUCAGUUCAACUUUAUGGUAAUGAACUAUGACGAGUUGUUGUUUUUCUCUUUAUUGUCUUCGUCCUCCUCAUCGUGAAAAGACUCUUUUUCAAGAAAGACAAAGAUGAGCUAGAAGAAGAAAGGCAUUCAUUUUAUGAAAACAAAGCAGCUGAUCUGGAGGCAAAUGAGGAGACCAAGCAGACCA